CUGUGCCAUCUGUCUGUGACCUUGAUGUCAGGUACCUGGCCAUGGGGCUACCAGCAAGGAUGUGCAAAGGAAGAACUGCUGCCCCUGCCCUCAGCUUCCUUAUGCCCGAGCCACUACUUAUCCGUGAAUGUGAGUGUCAAGAGAAACCUAAUUUGGUGGGGAAGCCAAGGAAUGGGAGAACAUUUCUUCUGAUUUGAGUCAAGGCACUAAUUAUUAGACACUCUCAGACAACAAAGCAGUAUUGACCUGAGGUCAAAGGAAGCAAGGACAAUAUUGUAGAAUGCUAGGAAACUGGAAAUGAAGAGUCCUUCAGCUUUGCCAGUCUUGAUUCUUGACUUUACAAAUUAGAAAAUGGAGACACAGAGAGGCUAGGUGAUUUGCCCCAGAUGACACAGUCAAUUAGUGGAGAAAUUAUGAUUCCUCCUCUAGUACUUCUUGGCCUUACCAGCAUCAAAUGAAGCUGGCCUCACAGGGAAAGUGAUUUUUGGUCUGGGAUCUGCAGAGCACAUAAAAUAAGUUAGAAAGGCUAUAAAAGAGGAAAGAAGGUUCUCCUCUCCCUCCCAAAAAUGACUUCCCAACACAGAACAAUAAAGGAAAUGCUUGUGUGGGUAUACAACUGUCCACUAAUUAUCACCUACCUUCUCCCUGAGAUGAAAGAAAACACCCUUGGUAAAUCAUGAUUUGAUAAAUAACAAGUUACUGGUGGUUCAUGCUUGACAGCUGGAAUCUUACCCAAUAAGCUAUUCAUCUUAGUAAAACCUUGUUUUAGUAAUGUAUAUGCAUAAUUUAGAAGUUGAAGGCUGAAAAUUGUUGUGUACUUCUCCAUAUAUAUACAGCUUUCAUCCAGGUCCCUUAAGAAAUGCCUUCUGUUUUAUAGGUAAUCUCAACAGCAGACUUUGAAAUAUUGUGUUUGGUUCAAUAUGCUAAGAAGAUAUACAAAUAAUAACUUUGUGAGUCUUCAUGUACACAAUGACAAACUGAGCAAUUUCCUCUAUAAUUCUAGAUUCUUAAAACCUUUUUUCCCAUAAUUGUUUGCAUGCACUAGGCACAAGCUUCUGUUUAAGUCUCUGCUUCUCCCUGAAUGUGUAGAACUGUCAUUUUGCUUACAAAGGGGCUGUGUGUUUGUGGCUGGCAGCCCAGAUAGAGCACUCUGGGUGCUGGGGUUUGAGGGCACCUUGGCCAGCUGAUUGACCUGUCUGGACUUUGUGGCCCAAUUAAUCGAGGCCACAGAUCAGUUGGUACUAAGCAUCAAAAUGACUCAUUAUGCCUCUCUCACUCUGAUUGCUUUGCCACAUAGAUAACAACAUUUGCAAUAGGAAACAUUUUAGAAUGUCAUUAUUGUAUUAUAUAUUGUCUUAUGCAGUAUUUCUGAAAAUUUAUUUUUAUUGUGAUGACUGAUUGAAGACAUGUGUAUGAAUAGAUGUUCCUCAGUGAAGCCUAUUCUCUUGUUGUUGAUGACAGUGGCAUCAGAGUGAAUGAAGAGUUGUUGCAGAGUAACUGACUUCAGUUUAAGGUUACCCUGGGGUUCUGGGGUUAGGACCCGGAUUAUGCAGCUGAUCUCCCAGCAAACACGGCUGUAUGAAAUAAGCAACUCUUCAAAAUACAAUUCUUGCCACUCAUUCUGGACCUUUGAUUCAUAAUCUCCUGGGAUAAGUCCAACUUACAAAGAUUCCCAGGUGAUUCAUGUGACCACCAUUUGGAAACCAGUAAUAUAUACAUCCGGAGUCACAUAUACCAUUUUGAACAAAGUAGCUAAAUGCUUAUCUCCCCUUGGGCGAUUGGUUUCACGUGUUCCUUGAAGUUAUCAUGUUUAAUGGCAAUAUAGACACAGUCUUAGUGACUCAACAAUUCAGCUGUUUCAGCCAAAUUGACCAGUUGCUAAUUUAUAAGCAAAUAGUAUCUGAUCAAUUUAGUCAGAAUGGAUGCAAGCCCAAAGACAAGGUGGAGAGCAAGCUUUAAUAUAUACUUUAUCUCAAGGCCAGCUCUUCAUAUUUCCCUCUUUAUAUUUCAAACUAAGAGACAGAUCUCAGGUCACUCAUCUUUAGAACUGGUGAGAAUGAGAAACAGGGAACUUAAAUGAUUCAUUCAGAUUCAAUCUGGAAGUCAUUCCCAGAGCCUAAAAUAUUUAUCUAAGGGGUCUGAUUUAUCAACCUCAGGUAGUAUCCAAAAUGCAAAGGUAUUCAGGCUAAAAUGAAACCAAUCAAAAAAGGAAAUUCAAGAGGCUGCAGUUCUAAGACUAACCCAGUAUAACAAGGGUGAUCAGUUAUUACUUGUGGCCUUGUACCACCUCUGUUGGAUAAUGUGCCACCAUCCUAAUGAAGCUUUGGCCAGACUUCUUUCUAUAGCUGUGCACAUAGAAAGGCUUUAGACAACAGUGAUACCAAAGGGUUCCUUUGAUUUUCCUUCUGUGUGAUUCCCAGACAGUUUUAGCUCUUUGGUGUGCUGCCAAAUGUUUAACAACUGGCUCUGGAAAACAGUGGAACCCAGAUUUUUAGCACCUACCAAUUUCCAUGGUGUAAACACUCUCAUCUCAGCCAAUUUCAAGCUACUAACUUAAUGUCAACCAGCUGAAAACAUAACAAUAUGUUUUCAAGAGCCAGUAUAAGUUGGCUGUAAUACAGCAUGAGCCAGCUCCAGCAUAGCACUGCCUGAACAAUUUUUAAGUCAGUGAGUACCAAAUAGGAGAGGCAAGCAGAGGUUUUGGAGGGACUUUUAAAUGUCCCCUCCACCAAGGGGAGCAUUUCCAUGUUGGUUAGUUUUACUAAUUUUUAGUAAAAGCAUAUUAUUGGAUCCUAAGGUGUUCAAAUAUUCCACGUGACUCUUAGGAACCUCUCAACAGACUCCCCAGUAUCUUAGGAGAUUACCAACUGUUGCUUUUCUAAUUUCUAAGGGUGACCCUUCAGGAAAAUAUUCUUUAAUUUAACUACCAGUUAAAACCAUGUUUGGCUGAUCUUUUUUAAAAAAUCUGUACCUAUAGUUCAUCACUCGUUUCCCCAACUUUGUCAUUUUCCCUAUCCACUUGCCCCUCAUCCUUCUGACACAAUAAAAAAAAAUUACAGGUGCCCACAAAACAGUGCCUGCAAAGGAGCAGGGGAAGAACAAGGCACCCAGUAAGCUCACUUGGCUCUACAUAUCUGGAAAGGCUCUGAGGUUCCAAGGUCUCUACCCCACCAGGGGACACCCAGUAAACGUCACACUGAGAGUUUAAGUUGCACUCAACUGGAGUUGAUUUGCCCUCAGAAAAGUUUCCAGUGGUCAAGAAAUACCACUGGGUAGGAAUAUCUCUGGGCAACUUCACUGCUGACUGGGCAAACUUUGUAGGAUAAGGUGUCAUGUGAUGCUUUGCAGUUAGCUAAGCUAAUGUAAGGCUGGACCAUGAAAAACAAAAAUCUGCUAAUACACAUUUGGCCCCUGCAGUCCCCUGGCACUGAACAAUAGAGCAACUGUCCUUUCUCACCACUAGUUGUGAGUGUACUUCCAACUGAGUGUUUAGAAAUCAGAUACUCUGGUAAUCCACAGAACAAGCUUUGUUUGCAAAUUGCAAGUUUUUCUGGUAGAAGUCAUUCUUAGGUGGGCUUCAUUAAAUCUUUAGUGAGGUAAUGCUGGGAAAAAAUAUGCCUAAUUCCUAGGACACAGUGAGUGGCCAUAAGUUGUUAUCUGCAUGUAGUAAAUCAAAAUUAGGUCAUGAAGGACCAAAUCUACUUCUGUUGCUACAAUAAAAUACCCUACAGGUUCUGUAAGGCAUUUCUAAACUGUAAAUGCUUGAAACGCAAGUUGGACAUUUUCUAUACUACGUGUAAAACGCCAGAUUAUACCCCUAUUUUCUUUCUUCCUAAUGGUCAUUGAAAUGAGCUUAUUUCUCUACAUUGAGGAAGCUACAUUUUAUUUUAAAUGAGUCAGGUGCAUGUUCAGAUGUUUGUCUGUAUUCCCAAUAAAUUGCAUGCAGCCUGAGCACAAGUAUGCCCUCACCCUCUGGCUCUUUUCCUGACACCAAACAGAGAAGUCCACAGCUACAAGCACAAGGGGCUUGACAGGUAGGCCUUGUUUUAUUAUGAACAAAUUCACCAGAAAACCAUUCUUGAGGAACCAGCCACUCCCAUAACAUUUUUAGUCUUAGGGAAGAAAAUUGGUAGGGACGAAAAAUUGGCAGACAGUGGGAGAGAGGUUUGGUCAACAUGCAUAAGUGGAAUAAUGUCAUUGAAGUACUUGCAAAAAGAAGAGGGAGGUUUCCCUCUGAAGGAAUCUAGACCAUUUUUUAAUACGGAGAAUAAUUGUACCCCAUGUUAGAAAUGCUCUUUAGCCAUAUUUCAAGAUCUAGAUCUGAACCCAUACUGUGCAGAAAGGCACAAGAGCCCUUACAGCCAAGAGCCCUGGGAGGAGUUGAGUAACAGGCUGAGAUCCGGUGAGUAAGCAUCAUUAUGUAGCACUGAAAUUCUCCCAGGACACAAAACAAAUGUAUUGAAACAUCACAAUACACUAUCAUUUACUCACAUGGGACAACCACCUAAGACCAUAGCAAAACUUUACAGAUCUAGAUGUUAUCUCAAGUCAGGAUUCCAGAUCAACAUCCUCCAUGUGGAGAUGAGACAACUGAGAUUCAGAAAAUUGGAGUGACUUAUUUGCCCAGGUAGCUAAAUGGAAUUAGAGUCUGGGUCUCCCAACCACUGAUUUCUGCUACACCACACUGUGCUGCUUCCAUUGGUUAGAUGGACAUUGACAAUUAAUUGUGAAAGCAUUAAUUAGAAGUCAAGACAAAAGAAUGUUUGUGAUAUCUUCUCUCACUUAACAUACUUUGGUUUCACCAUUGCAUUUUAGCAUUUUAAAGAAUAGUGUAUCAGUAUAGAAGGAGGAACAAAGCUCUUUAAGAGUAAUGAUGAAACCAAAAGGUCAAAAAGUAGAAGAAUAGCGAAUGUAAGUUAUUAAAUAAAUGAGCAAGAAGUAUGUGUCAGGGAAAAUAAAUGCUUCUUAUAUUGUUAAUACCAUGAUUCCCUACCCGCUCACCCGCUCACUCACACACUUGAUGCAUUUGUUUUGGAAAGUGCCAUUUUAUGCUGAGAUACUGGUAUUGAAGACUUCCCUCUUUCCCAACUCUAUCAGAAGUUCUCUUUCUCUUUGGAAGAAGCCGAGGGCCUUAACGAAUCAGACUGACCUCUCUUGUGACAGGCAGCCUCGCCUGCCCUUGGAAACAAGCUGCCAGACUGUGAGGGCCACAGAGACCCAAGAGAAGCCAGCACUGCUAGACUGAGGAACUUGUAAAUAUCUUCUGCUUUCUUGGUGAACAAGGACAGAGGCAAUUGCGUGUAUAUUGUGACUGUAGUUUGUGAAGAAAAUGCAACGGUUUGCUUCAACAGCUCCUCAAAUGUACUUGUUAAGUGUGAAUGUGCCUGCCUCAUUGCCUUGUGUUCCAAACACAGUACUGAAUGCGUUGUUUUUAAAUAAACUGUUUUCUUGUGCUUUGGGAAA